rnacentral:rRNA from 1 species
AACGAACGCUGGCGGCAUGCCUAACACAUGCAAGUCGAACGAGACCUUCGGGUCUAGUGGCGCACGGGUGCGUAACGCGUGGGAACCUGCCCUUAGGUUCGGAAUAACUCCCCGAAAGGGGUGCUAAUACCGGAUAAUGUCUUCGGACCAAAGAUUUAUCGCCUUUGGUUGGGCCCGCGUUGGAUUAGCUCGUUGGUAGGGUAAAAGCCUACCAAGGCGACAAUCCAUAGCUGGUCUGAGAGGAUGAUCAGCCACACUGGGAGUGAGACACGGCCCAGAAUCCUACGGGAGGCAGCAGUGGGGAAUAGUGGAAAAUGGGCGAAAGCAUGAUCCAGCAAGGCCGCGUGAGUGAUGAAGGCCGUAGGGUUGUAAAGCUCUUUUACCCGGGAUGAUAAUGACAGUACCGGGAGAAUAAGCUCCGGCUAACUCCGUG